rnacentral:rRNA from 1 species
ACAACAGGGAUUGCCUCAGUACGGCGAGUGAAGCGGCAACAGCUCAAAUUUGAAAUCUGGCCUCUCUCGGGGUCCGAGUUGUAAUUUGUAGAGAGUGUUUCGGGGGAGACCGCGGUCUAAGUCCAUUGGAACAUGGCGUCAUAGAGGGUGAGAAUCCCGUCUGUGACCGCGGAUCGAGCCCAUGUGAAGCCUCUUCGACGAGUCGAGUUGUUUGGGAAUGCAGCUCAAAAUGGGUGGUAAAUUUCAUCUAAAGCUAAAUACUGGCUGGAGACCGAUAGCGCACAAGUAGAGUGAUCGAAAGAUGAAAAGCACUUUGGAAAGAGAGUUAAACAGUACGUGAAAUUGUUGAAAGGGAAGCGCUUGCGACCAGACCUGCCCGUGGGCGAUCAGCCGCUGUUCUCAGCGGUGCACUCGUUCCACGAUCAGGCCAGCAUCGGUUUCGGCGGUCGGAUAAAGGCCUUGGGAAUGUAGCUUCCUUUCGGGGGAGUCUUAUAGCCCUUGGUGCAAUGCGGCCAGCCGGGACCGAGGACCGCGCUUCGGCUAGGAUGCUGGCGUAAUGGUCGUAAGCGACCCGUCUUGAAACACGGACCAAGGAGUCUAACAUCUAUGCGAGUGUUUGGGUGUCAAACCCAUGCGCGGAAUGAAAGUGAACGGAGGUGAGAACCCUUAAGGGCGCAUCAUCGACCGAUCCAGAUGUCUUCGGAUGGAUUUGAGUAUGAGCAUAGCUGUUGGGACCCGAAAGGUACGUUCAAACUCCCCACACCCCCUCCAGAAUCUAUAGAACUUUAAGCUAACUUGUUUUCACAGAUGGUGAACUAUGCCUGAAUAGGGUGAAGCCAGAGGAAACUCUGGUGGAGGCUCGCAGCGGUUCUGACGUGCAAAUCGAUCGUCAAAUUUGGGUAUAGGUAAGUUCGAUGCGGUGAACCCCAGAUUGUUCAAAACCAUCCUUGAUCUAACCGUGAUUUUUA